GUCCACCCCGCCCACCACCAGGCGGUCGUCCACCACGACCACCACCAUCUGACAAGCGUCCACCCAGUGGCGGUCGUCUAGAAGAGGAACCUGUUGAUCUCGAAUACGUGUCUAAUGAAUUACAAUCAGAAGAAUUCGAAUCGAAACAAUUCGAGUCAAAUGAAUACGACGUAGAAGAAUCUGAUGACUAUAAUCGAAGACCUCCGAGUGAUCGUCGACCACCAAAAAGACCUCCACAUCGACCACGAAAUCCAGGCGAUCGUCGACCCCGACCACCCCCAGGCGAUCGUCCACCCCGACCACCUCCAGGUAAACGUCCACCUCGCCCACCACCAGGCGGUCGUCCACCACGACCACCCCCAGGUAAACGUCCACCUCGCCCACCACCAGGCGGUCGUCCAGAAGAGGAACCUGUUGAUCUCGAAUACGUGUCUAAUGAAUUACAAUCAGAAGAAUUCGAAUCGAAACAAUUCGAGUCAAAUGAAUACGACGUAGAAGAAUCUGAUGACCAUAA
rnacentral:lncRNA from 1 species